rnacentral:rRNA from 1 species
UUUCUAGUGGCGGACGGGUGAGUAACGCGUGGGUAACCUGCCCUAUACAGGGGGAUAACAACCAGAAAUGGUUGCUAAUACCGCAUAAGCGCACAGGACCGCAUGGUCCGGUGUGAAAAACUCCGGUGGUAUAGGAUGGACCCGCGUUGGAUUAGCCAGUUGGCAGGGUAACGGCCUACCAAAGCGACGAUCCAUAGCCGGCCUGAGAGGGUGAACGGCCACAUUGGGACUGAGACACGGCCCAG